UUGUUUGGAGCUCUUUUUUAUUUUAUUUUAUUUUUUUAGAGAGAGAUAGGUAGCACGCUGCUCGUUUCGUUUAUUUUAUUUAAAAAUAAACUUAGUUGAAAAUAUGAAUCAACUAGAAUUCGAACUUGGAUUUCAGAUACCAACCACCAAGCCCUUUGUCACUUGCUCUAUAAUUUGGAGCUUUUUUUUUACGUACUAUAUCAUUCAAGUUUCAAAUUAAUCAUUUUAAAAAAAAGUAAUUAUUUAAUUAUAAUAAAAUGACUAAAUUAUAGAGGCAUAGUUUAAUUAGUUCAAAAUAUAAUAAUACGGUGUCACCGUCAGCUUUCAAACUUUUUUUGCGCUACUAUAUAUCAGUCAUACCAUAUUAUUUAUUAACAGACAAUCAUAUUUUCUUUUUUGAAUAAAAAAUAUAAUAUUUUUUUAAUAAUUAUGAUGAGAUAAAUAAAUUUUUAAAAAAUAAAUUGAUUAAUUAAUAAUAAUUAAUACAUGAGCAAUAUCACUGAUACAAUUUUUUUAUUUUUUUUUAUUUUCCCCUCUACGAGCCGGCUGCUGCAAGCCAUGGGCUGGGCAAAAAAGAAAGGUAGUCGUCUAGAAGGCCUUCUGCUUGGCUGACGUACGUCUGCCCUCUCGCCAUCAGCACUCUCGCUUCUUGUCUGCUUCACUUUUCUCCUCCACGGCAAAUAAUUGUCACCGCCGAGCACUGUGUGCGUACGACUUCCUUCUCACUUGUGCAAUUUUUUAAGGGAAAACUUCAAAAAACCCCCCUGUGGUUUCGUGCAUUCUCACUUUGCUACCCUGUGAUUUAAAACGUAUCAAUUUGCCCCCCUGUGGUUUCGUUUUUAUCUUUUUGUUAUCAAUUUUAUUAUUAUUAUUUUUUUAAAUCAGUGACAAAGUUAAAAUUAAAGGAUACUAAAGUGACUAUUCGAUAAAUAUAGAUGGUUAUCUGAAGUUUUUUGUAUAUAAUUUAACGAAAUAUUAACAAAAAAGCUUCCGAAAAGAUAAAAACGAAACCACAGGGGGGCAAAUUGAUACGUUUUAAACCACAGGGUAGCAAAGUGAGAAUGCACGAAACCACAGGGGGGGUUUUUGAAGUUUUCCCAAAUGGAAACCUAAGUCUUUCUAAUAUUUAUCUACGAUAAAAAUAUUUGGCUAAAUUAUACUUUGUUUCUCAAAUUUUAUUCUAUUAUAAUUUCUAGAUCAAAAUUUAUAAAUUAUUAUAAUUAAGUCUCAUAAUUUAAUUUAAUUAGCUAAAUAUUAAUAUAUCGAAAAUCGAUGUGAUAUUUUAAUCGUUGCCGCAUUAUCAAUUACAGAACUACCACGUUACCUCUGCAUUAGCAAUGCACUAAUAUUCGAUUAAUUUAAUAGAUUUUAGGACUUAAUUAUAGCAUUUUAAAAAUUUAAACUAAAAGAUAUAAUAAACUAAAAUUUUAAAAUUAAAUUUUUUUUUGACUGUUACUGUUUUAGCUAAAGAUUGGCAGAUUGCGUUUGAAAAUGGAAUGAAAAUAGGAGUUAUAAUAAUAUGAUGUGGGGAGGAGGAAAAGGAAAUGGCAACCGAAAGGCAGCAGGUAUCGAUGCAAAUGAAAAGAGUUGAUUAAUUUUGGGAAAACUUCAAAAACCCCCUUGUGGUUCCACAUUUUUUCACUUUAGUACCCUUUGGUUUAAAAUGUAUCAAGUCAGUACCCCGUGGUUUCUCACUUUAUCACUUAAGUACCCUGUGGUUUAAAGUGUAUCAAGUUAGUACCCUGUGAUUUUGCACUUUAUCAUUUUAGUACCCUGUGGUUUUAAUUUUGUAUCAAGUUAGUACCCUAUAGUUUUUAAAUCACAAGGUACUAAAGUGAUAAAGUGUGAAACCACAGGGUACUAAAGUGAUAAAGUGCAAAACCACAGGGUACUAGCUUGAUACAUUUUAAACCACAGGGUACUAAAGUGAUAAAGUGAGAAACCACAGGGUACUAACUUGAUACACUUCAAACCACAGGGUACUAAAAUGAAAAAGUGUGAAACCACAGGGGGGUUUUUUGAAGUUUUCCCUUUCCAUUUUAAGUGUAACUCGUAAAUUUUCUUUCCGGGCUCUUCUAGCUGUUGUUAAGUUCUUAGCAUAGAAUACUAAUAAAAAUUAAGAUUUGUUUUACAAUUUCUACACAAAGAAACAGAAAAAAAAAACCUAAAAAGUUUAGUAUUCUAAUAAAUUAAAGUACUCCCUACUUCUCAAAACACCAAAAAAAAAAAAAAUCUCGUUUUAUUUUUUUAUAAAUAAACUCUGCUGACAAUAUAAAAUAAUUAGAUUUUGAAUUUAGAACCGCAUAUGUUUGAUUCUAACCAUGAAAUUGUUAAUCCAACAUAUCAGUUAAAAAAGUACCAGUAAUUAUGAGGAUGUUGGCUCAUUAUCCAUAUAUUCAACCUCUUUAAUAAUUCUUGUUAUCCUUCUAGAUGAGUUUCUAUGAAUUGAUGUUUAGCUCACCGUUGUCCCAAGCGGAACCCACAUGACUCAGGCCUUCUAGAAGCUCAUCACCUGCUCUUCUAGAAGGUGGACCCGGGAAUCACAAAAGACACUACAAUUGUAGGGCCCAUCAGUGAGUAGCAAAAUUGGUCCAUCCUUCUAAUUGGUACAUGAAAGCAAUGUACUUUACCAAGUUUUUUUUUUUUCUUUUCUCUUUUUUAUUUAAACUUAGGAUAAGUCCAUGGAGAAUUGAAACCACUUUUUAACAUAUUUACUUCCGAAACAAUUAAAAUCAAUAUACAAUGCAUGCACCGACUCUUUCUAGAGCAAGUGACAAAGGGUUUGAUGGUUGGAGCAAGUGACAAAAGAUUUGAUGGCUGGUAUCUGAGGUCCUAAGUUCGAAUCAUAAUUAAUUUAUAUUUCCAGCUAAGUUUAUUUUUAAAUAAAAUAAACGAAACAGCUAGCGCGCUACCUAUCUUUCAAAAAAAAAACAUAUAUACUAUGCAUGCCAUUAAGGUACUAAAAAAGCUUGCACAUAGCAGUGGGUUAUGGACCCAUUAAAAGUAUUAAAUACAACACAGGGCCUAACAAAACUUGUUAGAGUCCCAAGUUUUUCUUUAAUUAAGCAUUUCUUUGGAUAAGGAACUUGUGAGGUGUAGGAAAAGUUCUAAUCUCUCGUAUAUUUCUUUAAUAAAAGAAUUGUUAAGAUAGCUUGUUUGGUCACUGAGUGCUAUCCAAAUGGGACACACCAACUGUUGUGUUAGUGUGACAUAUGCUUGCCUUUUAAGACUGAAACAUAUAUAAAAAAAAAAGAGAGAAAUGUAGUCUAAGCGAUGUAUUUGUUUUGGUGCAUAGUGCACUUCACAGGGACGUCGCAUGUCCAGUUUUUAUAGUAAAAAACCCAGAUUCUAGAAGCACCAAGGUUUCUAAUUAAUUAUGUCAACAUAGAAAGAGAAAGGGAGGAGAAAGCGAAGUCACGCUUUGCAAAUCGUGCUAUUGGAAUGAUCUACAUACAAACACAGGAGAAAGCUGGAGCUAUGAUUAUGAUACGAGUGUCAAAGAAGUAGGAGUGGAUUCCACAAGACAGGUCAAUGUACGGUGCAUCUUUAACGUGCCAAAAAAUAAUUAAAAAAAUUAUAUAUAUAUAUAUAGAGAGAGAGAGAGAGAGAGAGAGAGAGAGAGAGAGUUGGGUCCUAAUCCACCUGUCGAGACCUAAGCCUAACUUGAUCUGAUCCUCACACUGAAUAAGGGUCAAAUCCAAUCAAUAAAUAAUGAUCAAAAUUCCAACCGAUGAUUAGGGCAUAACCAGUUUAGCUUUAUCAACAAUUUCUACCGUGGAAAUUAUAGUGUGUACUUAGACAAAUAAAAAUUUUGAAACUUUUACAUCUAUAAAAUAUUAAACAAUUUUUUUCGGGAUCCUAACAAUAGUCGUUUUUUUUUUUUUCUAUUUUUAGUUUUGCUUUUUGUUAUGAGAAUUUGUUGAAAGAAAUUUUAUGAAAUUUUUGAAAAGCCACAGCUGGUACUUUUGGGAGCCAAUUUAGCUCGGCCCAGACCCAACCCGACAACCCCCAUCUGAACUCGGGUCCAAAUUAUGGAUUCGGUUCAACCCAACCCAAAUCCAUUUAUUUGGCCGCACGCGUCAUGGCGGGAGAGAGAGUUCAUUACAAAUCUCGCUCCUCCAUCUCUCUCUCUCUCUCUCUCUCUCUCUCUCUCUUUCUCUCACACGCACAUACACACACAACGCACAAACACAUACACGCAUAUUCGAGCUCAUGAAGAAGCAGAAGCUCUUUCUUUCUCCUCCCACACUCUCUUCUCCUCUCCUCACCAUUCUCCGCCUCAUCUCCUCCCCCUUCACCACCACCUCCACCGCCAUUGCCGCCGCCAUUGCGAACUCCGAACGUUCUGAAGACGACGAAGCUUCGCUCUCCUCCCCGCUCGUCAUCGCCGAAAACGACCUCCUACGGGCGAGCCACAAGACCCAACACGGCCUCCACGUCCUCGACCUCGUCGACGCCGGAGCCCUCGAACCCACCUCCGUAAUCUACUCCUCAAUCAUCAAGAGGUGCACCCAACUGCAGAAGCUUAAGGCGGGUAAGAUCGUUCAUGCCCACUUCCUCAAUUCGAGGCUCAAAGGCGACGUCUUUUUCCACAACUCCAUCAUCAACAUGUAUUGUAAAUGCGGGAGCUUGGAGGACGCGCACAAGGCGUUCGACGAAAUGCCCUCGAGAGAUAUGGUCUCAUGGACGGCUCUGAUCACUGGAUAUGCUCAGAGUGAUCGGCCGAGAGAGGCACUUGAGCUGUUCCCGAGAAUGCUCAGGCUCGACCUUAGACCGAAUGGGUUUACUUUCGCGAGCCUUUUCAAGGCUUGCGGGGCCUUUUCUGAUGAUGAAACCGGUAAACAAAUUCACGGAGUGUGUAUAAAGUACGGUUGUGAUCUAGAUGUUUACGUGGGGAGUGCCUUGCUGGAUAUGUAUGCUCGCCACGGGAACAUGAACGAAGCAUGUUUGAUCUUUGAGCAUUUGGAUUCCAAGAACGAGGUAUCAUGGAAUGCUUUGAUAGCUGGUCAUGCGAGAAAAGAAGAUGCAGAAACUGCUCUUAAGCUGUUCUGCGACAUGCAAAGGAAUGGCUUUGGGGCAACCCAUUUCACCUAUUCGAGCAUUUUUAGCGCCUGCGCGGGUAUUGGCGCUCUAGAACAGGGGAAAUGGGUUCAUGCCCAUAUGGUGAAAUCGGGGCAAAAGCUUACUGCCUUUGUCGGUAACACUAUUCUUGAUAUGUACGCCAAAUCCGGGAGUAUAGGCGAUGCAAGGAAAGUGUUCGAUCGAUUGGAUAAAAGAGACAUUGUUUCUUGGAACUCCAUGCUUACCGCAUGCGCUCACCAUGGGCUUGGUAAAGAAGCUGUUUCCAUUUUUGAGGAGAUGCGUAGGAUUGGUAUUCAGCCGAAUCAGAUCACUUUCCUCUGUGUUCUCACAGCUUGUAGCCAUGGUGGGCUUUUGAGAGAGGGAAAGCACUAUUUUGAGAUGAUGAAGAAAUAUAAGUUGGAACCGGAGGUCGAGCAUUACGUGACAAUCGUUGAUCUUCUCGGACGAUCAGGAUUUCUCGACCAAGCUCGUGAUUUUAUCAGGAAAAUGCCAAUAGAACCCAACGCUGCUGUUUGGGGAGCUCUUCUUGGGGCUUGUAGAAUGCACAAGAAUGCGGAAUUGGGGCAAUACGCGGCCGAGCGCGUCUUCAAACUGGACCCGAAUGAUGCGGGGCCCUGUGUGUUGUUGUAUAAUAUUUAUGCUACUGCUGGUAGGUGGAAUAAUGCAGCUAGAGUGAGAAAGAUGAUGAAAGAGAGAGGCAUGAAGAAGGAGCCGGCGUGUAGUUGGGUCGAAUUGGAAAAUUCAGUCCACAUGUUCGUAGCCAAUGACGAUUCACAUCCAGAAAUCAAAGAGAUUUACACUAUGUGGGAGCAUAUUAAUGGGAAAAUAAAGGAAGCUGGGUAUAAGCCGGAUACUGAGUAUGUGUUUUUACAUGCUGAUGAGCAGGAGAGAGAGGCGAAGUUACAGUAUCAUAGUGAGAAAAUCGCUCUUGCAUUUGCAUUAACAAAGAUGCCACGAGGGGCAACCAUACGUAUCAUGAAGAAUAUAAGGAUGUGCAGAGAUUGCCAUUCUGCGAUUAAAUAUGUUUCUAAGGUUAUGGGGAGGGAGAUAGUUGUGAGAGAUACGAAUCGGUUCCACCAUUUUAGCAAUGGUUCUUGUUCAUGUAAUGACUACUGGUGACCACCGGCAUUCUAUAGUAUUCAAGUUCAGCAGAAACAAGAAGGAUAUGAUAAUUUUGAUAUUCUAAAUGAUGAAGAAAGUGAGGAGAGGUGAAGGCACAAAGAUAAAGAUUGUGUUCUGAAUCGGGACAUAUAUUUUUUUCCGGAUGUUAUUGCAAAGGGUGGGGAUUCCUGGUACCUGUUUGCUUCAUUGAAUGUCUGUAUGAAUGGUGGAGAAUUAAUCGACUGGUGAACCGCUUAUUUGAGUUAUCGGAAAACGCAUCAAGUGCUUAUUUGAGAAGCUAAGCUCUUACGGCAUUCAUCUGGUAUGUUCUUUUCUUACACAUCAUAGUAUUAUCUGCUUAGCGGACCCUUUAGGAUUGUCUGCUUGGUGAAACUUUUGAGAAACAAAAUCGUCAUCAAACUUUUCUGCAACUUCUUCAAUUCUGUUGGCUAUCUGCUUAAUGGACCCUACUGAAUGAAGCAGCUAGCUCGCCACCUUUUCUCAGGGAAAAAAAAAACUUAUUCUUCAAUUUUUUUGGUUAUCUCAUUUGCAUGACAAUGUACUAAUUCUAUCUGAUCUAACUAUUAAUGCAAACAAUAGAUAGACAGCUGGGAUACUCUACUAGAAGAUAACUAGAAUGCUAAAAGGAUCAAUUUCCCCCAAUACAAGCACUCGAAGAAGCUUAAACCUUUAGCCUCUCUCAAGAGCCUUAAAUCUUGAUACAACCUAAAGUCGUCAUUUGUUUAUCUGAAUGCAUUUAUGAACUCUCUGAACAUGCCCCUUCAAACAUUGGAUCCCUCUGGUCUCUCAGAAACACCUUGCUAGUAGUAAAAGCCGAAGCCAAUCGAGCACAGCCGAGAACACUAGAAUAUGAUGUGAUGAAAUGCUAAUANUUUUUUUUUUUUUUUUUUUUUUUUUUUUUGUUGCAGAUGCUGAAUAUUUACAAAUCCAGACUUCUCUCGGAGCAUGCUCUUCGCAUCUUUGUUAAUUUGGGCUAAGCGGCUUCGGCACGAAGAAAGGUAUUUCAGCUACCCUCCCUAAUUCAACUAUUUUCCAUUUGAUUUAGUGAUUACCUCAAUUGUGAAGAUACCAGAUUUCGAGGCAAAGAACAUUAAAACUGCAAUAUUCUUAUAUUUAAACUACAGUACCUGAACUUGGAAUUAUUAUUGCGUGUGCGUUGUUCUUAUACGAUAAAAAUUAGUAGUAACAAUCGAAAAAAGUAUUAGAUUCAACCUGAAUAAAAAUAGUGAUUGAAACCGAGCCCUAAGCAAGCCAUGGAACAUCAAAAUGAGUGUCAUUAGUGCCAACGACAAGAACAAGAGCAAGAGCUUCAAAAUUCCAAGCAUCUAGUAAGUAACGGCUUCCUGAUUUUGCAGUCGAAAAAAACUAUCAGUUGCCUCCAAAGCCUGCAUGCUCCUCGCCGGAAACAGAUUGCAGUGUGGGAUUGAAUCUCAAAGGAAGAUAGAUUGAGAGCUGUCGGACAGCCGAUCACUGCCUACUCCUGGGCCAAAAUGGGUGGGUUCUGCAACCCGUCUUCCAGUUAUCCAAGUAUAUUACCACCCUCACCGCCGCGUAUGCUGCCGCCAUUGCCGCCGCCAUGCAGAUCCUCUGCACCUUCGCGCAGAGGAUCUGUACCACGCAGGAGGCAUAGGAGGACACGACGACAUCGUCGACGUCGACGACGUAGGGGAAAAGACAGAAGAGCAGGAUGAGGAAGCUCGGAGCCAUUCCUUAGUUUCCUUGGUUCUGCUCUGCUCACUGUUUCAGGCACUCAAUGCUUCGCUAGUACAGAACAGAUUACAUAAGCAUCAAGAGCCUUAAACGGUACUAUUGUUGUUGUUGUUGUUUUUUCCCCUUCGAUAAAAUGUCUGAAUGAUAUUGGAAUUUUAAAUUCAAAAGAGUCUAAUUAUUUUAUGUUUUGUAAUUUAAAUUUAUAUUAAAAAAAUAAACGAAGUGAAUAAUGCUAUCUUUCUCUUAAAAUAAAAUAUCAAAAUUUCGAUCUAACUUUUUUAUUUUGAAUAAAUUUAAGGACACUACUAACAUUAGAAAUUUGAAAAGUCACCAACUAUUAAUUAUUAAUAAAAUCUGUAGUUAGACUUCUAACUUUCGAAGGGACUAUAUUUGAGAAGGAAGUCUAUUGUAUAAUAUUUACAGCUCAUUAUUUAUUCCUAGUUAAUUAUAUUUUUCAUUUUGAAAGAAAAAUAUAAUAAAAAUAUUUCUCUAAAAAUUAUGAUUAGAUGAAUGAAUUCCAAAAAAGCUUUUUGAUUGAUUGGGCGUACCACAUCAAUAAUAUAAAUAUUGCUUUCUAAAUUUUUUUAUAUUUGAGGGGGAGUUUACAUUGCUAUUUCUUUGCUCUUAUGAGCAGAUUGAUAGGAAUUUUUUUUUUUAAUUGAUUUUAACCUUCAUUAAACCUUGGAAGGAGAAAAGGUGACGGAUAGAGAUUGACCAUCUAAUAUAAUUUAACCGUUCUAGUAAUCAGGAAGAUAGGAAGGAGCAGCAGCUUUGGUAGUAUACAGAUAUAUGGAUUGUAAUAAGAUCAAAACUAAAAUUAAUGAAUUUUUUUUACCUCGGGAAAAAAAAAGCAGAGAAAAAGCCUCGCAUGAGAAUUUUAUGAAAAAAAAAGAAAAAAAAAAAUCUAACGAAAACAAGCCAUGAGCCAUCACAAGAUAACUCAAAAAAGAGUUAACCUAGCGACCUUUCCAACUACCAUCAUCUCAAUCUCAUCUCCACAGCAAAAGAUGAUUCAACAUCUCCCACCAUUUAAAUCCACGUGUCAACUUCCAUGCCACGUGCCCUUCAUUCAUAGCGCACGCGUGCCAACUCCUCCUCCUUCCCCCUCUUUCCUCUGAUAUACAGUGUACACCCUCUCCUCCUCUCCCUCACACUGCCACACGUAGCCGUUACUUCCUAUUAAAAACACACUCAUAACAAGUACCAAAUCAUAAAAGUAUGGACGAUCCACGCACCAGUGACGGCACCACCGUCCUAUACGCCUCUCUCCCUGCCCUCGCCAUCGCAGGCCCAUUACUCAGCCUAAUGGGCUUCACUCUCUUAACAUCUCUCGCGCUCCUCCUCGUGGCCGCCCCUUUGCAGAUCCUAUUCAGCCCGAUCCUACUCCCCGCCGGCUUCGUGGUUGCGGCUGCGGUGGUGGCGUUCGGCACCGCAGGAGCCAUGGGCUUAGGCGGGCUUUGGGCUCUGAAUUGGGCUUUCGGUUACGCAACCCGUGGGCCUGCCGACAGGGCCGGGCCCACUAAAGUGGCGGGACCGGCUACGGAGACGCUGACCGAGUCGGGGCAGAGGGUGAAGGAACGAGCGCAGGAUUUUGGUGGCUAUUUGCAGUAUAAGGUCGACGUCCUCCCACCGGAGAACGCACCGCGCAAAGAGAACAUUAACGAGACUUAAUUUGCAGUGAUAGAGAGGAGAGGAGUUUAUCUACUUAGAUAUUAUAUAUCAUGUGUCUGUCUCAUAUGUAUAUAUGAAUGUUAUUUCUUCUUCUUGCUAUUCUUUUGCUGUUUGUUUAUUACUGUUUCUUUCUUUUCUCUCGCAAUUUGACCCUAAUAAACCCUACGUUGACGUAGCAACUUCAAGCCUAAAGCCCUAUACAAUCUCCCCCUUACUAAAAUUAGAAAAUUCCAAAACAACCGAACAUUGACCUAAAACCGUGUCCAAUUAAUACGAGCCCAUGCACCCGGUCAAAAUCAAAAGAAUUGUAUAUCACUCCCUCCCUGCUUCGAAUGGAAUUAUUUUUGGUUAACAUAACCGCCCACACCCUGGCCCCUUCGCCCACAAUCGUUACGGACGGACCCGACCUAAAGUUGUCACGCCACGGAAACACAGGUGGGCUCGCUCACUCCGCAACAGCUUUAGCCUUACGUGUUCCCUCACUAUCUCCACGCACGCACCACCACCCUUUUUUAUGUUACUUACUUAUUAAUUAACUUAAUUUUUUAUUUAAUUAAUUUGAGAUUGGUUUGGUAUUUUAUGAUGUCCCUUACCCUUCGCGCCAGUUUUGGUUGGUCAUGCAACACCUAUUCGCAACUUUCUCGUUUCUAUUUGCCGCGUGUUUGCGGCUAUGCAUUUAUCCAACCCCUCCUCGUUUCUAGUGCACCUGCGUAACACUUCAAAUUCCUAUUUUAAUUUUUUUCUUUGUCUUAUUAUUAGAAUAAUAAUAAUAAUUUUUACUUACAUGUAUCUUAUUCUGCAGAAACCGUCUUACUAUUUAUUAUUUUAUUAAAGCUACUCUUUAUUUACUAAUAAACUUUAAACAAAUUUGAUAGUUAAAAGAGAUAUUCCUUUAUUAAUUCAGUUGUGGACUAAAUGUUGAUUAAGAGUUAAUGAACGUUUAUAUUUAUAUGGUGCUCCGCGAGACACCACACCGGGGCUUUCGAAGGCAUAGCCCGUUCCGCCCUCGUUGCCCCCGUGGCGCCGAUCACGCGAUACGGCAUCUCCUCCUACGUGAAUUGACGAUUUUACCCUCGCCCAUCUCCUACCCUUGAGUGCUAUUUCCGGUCCUGGCCAGGGUCGAAAAGGGAAAUCAGGCGUGCAGAAACGGAGCUCAGUGGGAAAAAUUAGACGGUGCAUUCCAUGGAUGAGAGAACUCGUCCCCAUAAAUCCCCAACCCCUCCCCAAAGCGUCCGCAUAAAAGGAAAGGCAAAGCGGGGGAGGGAGUGAGGAAGAGCGUGUGUGUCGUUGAGACGGUUUCGGGUUCUCUCCCUCUGAGCCUCUGAGGCUCGCGUGGCGUACGAGCAAUCCCUUUGAGCUCUCCCCACACCAACUCUCUCUCUCUCUCUCUCUCUCUCUCUCUCUCUCUCUCUCUCUCUCUCUCUCUCGCUAUAUAUAUAAAUAUAUACAUACACCAUACAUACCCCACAACAACAACCUCUCCCUCCCCUUUUCUCAACGAGGCAUUAGAUCAAACACAUUCGCAGCAGCAUCGGAUCGAAGGUAAGGUUGGAAUCGAGAUUUUUCCUUAGCUUUCUAACGGUGCUCUUUUCGAUCGAUUUCGCUCGCGGAUCGAUUAAUCGAUCGAUCUGCGCGUGGUACGAUUCGAUCGGGGGAUUAGACCUAAUCGGUACUUGCGCUGUGAAAGGUAAUGGAUCGAGAGAACAAGAAGAGAGGGAGGAAGGAGAAGGAGGAGGAGUACCCGGCGAGGAAGGAGGAGGCGACGAAGGCGAGGAAGAAGAAGAAGCAGCAGCAGCAGCAGCAGCAGCAGCGCGGGGGAUCGAACGCGGCGGCGAUCGAGGAGGAGGAGGAGAAGGGGUGCGUUUUUGAGGCCUCAGCGGUGGAGGACACGUGUCGGCCGCGCGGGGUGUUCGAGUUCCCGUGGGACGACCACUGCGGGGAAGCGCUGGACGGCUCUGAUCUGCAGGACGUGUUCUUCUCCUCCCUCGUGGACGGCCGAUCCGCCGCCAUCGGCGUCCCCGGCGACCGCCUCUCGCCGCCCACCACCAGCCCCAUCGCGCUCCCCGACGAGGCCUCCCAGCCGUCCGAUGCGGAUGGGGACGCGGACGGCGUGGAUUGCAUCUGGAGCACCGUGCUCCGCGAGCCCCUCGCCGUCGUGUGCACCCGAGGGUUCCGCGCAUGAGCGAAUCAUGAACGAGAGGGUAAAAAAGUCAAAUCGUAAAAAUGUCGUAAUUGCCUUUUUUUUUUUUGUUUGUUUCCCUUUUCAACUUUUUAUCCUUUUUGUGUGACAAAUUAGUGAAGUUUAACCGUUUUAGAUGUUUAUUAUAGACAGUGAUAUUAACUGGUAAAAGUUUGAACUGCUUUUUUAGGGGGGAAAAGAAUAUUUGAAUUUUGAAAGAGAGAGGUUAAUUUGUUGCAUGGAAUAGUUUAUAUAACUUGUUUUCAGUUUUAUUAUCGUAUAAACUAUAUGGAUUUGAUUUAAUUGCUAGUUGCUGCAUGUAAAAUACUCGUACUCAUUCAAAUUAAGCAUAUGAGAAACUAAUUUUUUUUUAAUUUAAAUUGCAAAUGCUAUGCUGUCAUAUUUUUGAAUAUGACGUACAUUAUCCAGUGGUUAUGCUCAUUUAAUUAUAUGAUACAUAUGAAUAAAGUUUUAAAAAUUCUACGUGCAUGCGAAGGAACAAGCUCCAAUGCUUAUUUCUAGAGAUUGUAUAUUUGAGCAUAACAUGUAAAAAGUUUAUUUUUAGAAAAUUUUAAUCUUUCGAAUAAUCAGUUAUUUCAUUACCGCUUUAUUAGCAAGCUUUGAAUAGCACGUAGUUUUAUAAACUUUAUUCACCUUUUCGGAGUAAUAAUUAAUAUGAUCAAUUGCAACAUGUAUCGCCAUCUGAGUAAUUAAGUCCAUGAACUCUUUUUUUUAUUUAUAAAAAGCCCGUGGACCAGAUAUAUUUGAUAGGAAGCAACCAUUAAUUGAGCCCGAAUUUGCGACUAGUUGCGUACUGCAUGUAGGAUUUAAAGCCUUGAAAAGAAUCCUUUGCUUGAUUGAGAAAACUCUACAUGCGCUCUUCAUAUAUAUAUAUAUAUAUAUUUUUUUAAGAGAGAGCAUAUUCUGAGUAAUUUUUUAUAUUGCCAUAAAAAAUAUAUUAUAUUUAGUCAUAAUUUGAAUUUCUUUGCUCUGGAUAUGCCAUUUUUUGGGAGUUAAAUUAGGGAGAUCUACAAUCUAGAGCGUGAAAAACAUUGAAUUUGACAACCCACUCGCUUCAUUUUUCUAAAAAAACUCAAAUUUGGGUCUUUCCUUUCUAGAGCUGAAAAGCUUUUUAACCUAUUUAGAAGCUGCUACUUUUAGUUUUUUUUUUUUUUUUUUUUUUUUUUUUUUUUUUUUUUUUUUUUUUUUUUUUUGGCUUAAUGGCUAUCGACGGCUUUCCAGGCUAAAUAAACUAUAUAUUUUUUUGAAAAAGAGGCAUUACAAACACUAAUUCUAUAAUGUAGAGGCCACUUCUGCUUCUGUCUCAAAAUAUCUUUCACCGUGGCCUAUAAAUUAGCCAUGAACUCAAAAU
rnacentral:lncRNA from 1 species